rnacentral:misc_RNA from 1 species
UCACCGGAUGUGCUCUCCGGUCUGAUGAGUCCGUGAGGACGAAAGCUUG